rnacentral:snRNA from 1 species
UUCGCUUUCUCGGACUUUUGGCAUAGAUCAAGUGUAGUAUCUUGGUUUCUUUCAGUUUAAUAUCUGAUACGGUCCCCUACCGGGGGGACAUUUUAUGAUUUUUGAGCAGGGAGAUGGAAUUAGGGGCUUGCUCCGUCCACUCCACGCAUCGACUGGGAUAUUCGUAGUACUUGCCUGGACGGCUGCUCCCUUG